UUUUAUUUAGUGUAAAAAAGCACAUAUUUUUGUCAAAAAUAAAGAUUUAAUAAAAU
rnacentral:tRNA from 1 species